rnacentral:rRNA from 1 species
UGGGGAAUAUUGCACAAUGGGCGCAAGCCUGAUGCAGCCAUGCCGCGUGUAUGAAGAAGGCCUUCGGGUUGUAAAGUACUUUCAGCGGGGAGGAAGGGAGUAAAGUUAAUACCUUUACUCAUUGACGUUACCCGCAGAAGAAGCACCGGCUAACUCCGUGCCAGCAGCCGCGGUAAUACGGAGGGUGCAAGCAUUAAUCGGAAUUACUGGGCGUAAAGCGCACGCAGGCGGUUUGUUAAGUCAGAUGUGAAAUCCCCGGGCUCAACCUGGGAACUGCAUCUGAUACUGGCAAGCUUGAGUCUCGUAGAGGGGGGUAGAAUUCCAGGUGUAGCGGUGAAAUGCGUAGAGAUCUGGAGGAAUACCGGUGACGAAGGCGGCCCCCUGGACGAAGACUGACGCUCAGGUGCGAAAGCGUGGGGAGCAAACAGG